GAUGAACGCUAGCGGCAGGCUUAACACAUGCCAAGUCGAGGGGUAUUGGUUUUCGGACCAAGAGACCGGCGCACGGGUGCGUAACGCGUAUGCAAUCUACCUUUUGCAGAGGGAUAGCCCCAGAGAAAUUUGGAUUAAUACCUCAUAGUAUAGUACUUUGGCAUCAAGGAACUAUUAAAGUCACAACGGCAAAAGAUGAGCAUGCGUCCCAUUAGCUAGUUGGUAAGGUAACGGCUUACCAAGGCUACGAUGGGUAGGGGUCCUGAGAGGGAGAUCCCCCCACACUGGUACUGAGACACGGACCAGACUCCUACGGGAGGCAGCAGUGAGGAAUAUUGGACAAUGGGCGCAAGCCUGAUCCAGCCAUGCCGCGUAGCAGGAUGACGGUCCUAUGGAUUGUAAACCNGCUUUANACAGGAAGAAACACUACUUCGUGAAGUAGCUUGACGGUACUGUAAGAAUAAGGACUCGGGCUAAACUCCGUGCCAGCAG
rnacentral:rRNA from 1 species